rnacentral:rRNA from 1 species
UCAAAAACAUGUCUUUAAGAUAUUUAAUUUAAAGUCAAAUCUGCUCCAUGAAUUAAAUUUUAAAUAGCUGCAGAAUUCUAACUGUACAAAGGUAGCAUAAUCAAUAGUUUUUUAAUUGAAAGCUGGAAUGAAUGAUUUAAUAAGAAAAAUAUUGUCUCAAUUUUAAUAAAAUUAGAAUUUUUUUUUUAGUAAAAAUACUAAAGUAAUUUUAAAAGACGAGAAGACCCUAUAGAUUUUAAUAAUUUAACUUAAAUAAAUUUAAAUUAAUUAAGAAUGUUUACGAUAAAAUUAUUUGGUUGGGGAAAUUGAUAAAUUUAAUUAAUUUUAAUUAAUUUAAGACAAUAAUAAUUGAGUUUAUGAUUUUAAAUAAGGAUUAUAAGAAUAAAAUACCUUAGGGAUAACAGCGUAAUUUUUUUGGAGAGAUCUUAUUGAUAAAAAAGUUUGCGACCUCGAUGUUGAAUUAAGAUUAAAUUUUAAUGUAGAAGUUAAAAAUUUUUGGUCUGUUCGACCAUUGAAAUCUUACAUGAUCUG